rnacentral:rRNA from 1 species
UACAGAGGGUGCGAGCGUUAAUCGGAAUUACUGGGCGUAAAGCGCGCGUAGGCGGCUUUGCAAGUCGGGUGUGAAAUCCCCAGGCUUAACCUGGGAGCUGCAUUCGAGACUGCAUUGCUAGAGUAUGGGAGAGGGAAGUGGAAUUUCCGGUGUAGCGGUGAAAUGCGUAGAUAUCGGAAGGAACAUCAGUGGCGAAAGCGACUUCCUGGACCAAUACUGACGCUCAGGUGCGAAAGCGUGGGGAGCAAACAGG